CACCUGGAGAAAAUAGGGUUGCACGGUCAAUCGCGUUGAAAAAAUAAUAGGGUCGGCAGAAUAAAAUAGGGUCGGUCGGGAACCGGAACCACAGGUAUUUUUUUUUACGCCUAAUUACUUCUGAUAUCAGUGUUCAGUGGGUCCCUAUGUUUCCUAUUUGCUAAUUUCCUAACAGCGUGUCUUUUAAGUCAGCAUUCUUUAUCAAACCAUUUUUUAUUAGUAGUGUUUCUAAUUUUACAGCGUUUUUUUUGUUUUCUUUAUCUUUAGAGAGUUCUUUCCAGCUUCUUGUAUAAUGUUUUGGAAUGUAU